rnacentral:rRNA from 1 species
CAACGUUAAUCGGGGCAGGGUGAGUCGACCCCUAAGGCGAGGCCGAAAGGCGUAGUCGAUGGGAAACAGGUUAAUAUUCCUGUACUUGGUGUUACUGCGAAGGGGGGACGGAGAAGGCUAUGUUAGCCGGGCGACGGUUGUCCCGGUUUAAGCAUGUAGGCUGAUUGUCCAGGCAAAUCCGGAUAAUCAAGGCUGAGGUGUGAUGACGAGGCACUACGGUGCUGAAGUAACAAAUGCCCUGCUUCCAGGAAAAGCCUCUAAGCAUCAGGUAACAUUAAAUCGUACCCCAAACCGACACAGGUGGUCAGGUAGAGAAUACCAAGGCGCUUGAGAGAACUCGGGUGAAGGAACUAGGCAAAAUGGUGCCGUAACUUCGGGAGAAGGCACGCUGGUGUGUAGGUGAAGUCCCUGCGGAUGGAGCUGAGACCAGUCGAAGAU